rnacentral:rRNA from 1 species
GUGUGCGAUCCUUUCAGCACUUAUGCAUCGGAUUCCAUUAGAACUCCGCAGUUAAGCGUGCUUGGGCGAGAAUAGUUCUAAGAUGAGCAGACAUUAUUCAGUUUCCUUUGCU